rnacentral:sRNA from 18 species
GUCACUCGCUCUCAUCCGGAGUGACCAGCCCCAGUCAUCACGAUCCGCGGAUCAGACAAGGUGCAUCGAUGACUACGUUCUCUGCAGGUGAGCAGACCCACCAGGCUGUGCUUCCUCAGCAGCCUGCUCUGGA